CUUAAAAUAAACCUGCCUUUUUCCAUUUAGCAUUUUAUCAAAUGAAUGUAAUUUCAUUUGCUGAUGAAUUUAGUUCAGCUUCAAGGGAAUUUUUCUCUUCUUCAUGGGGAGCCUGAAGAAUCAGAACUGUCAUGCCAAAGAAAGAGAAGCAAGCGUAGGGAGGAAAAAAACAAGUCUGAUAUUUAUACGGACUCAUCUAUUGCUGAAACUGCUCACCUUCAACAACAAAAUGAACUUCAUAGCAAGAUCUUAUCCCCAAAAUGGCUUAUUCCUAGGAAUAAGGCUUGUUGAGCAGACUUGCGGGCUCUACCCAAGUAACACCCAGCCCAGGACAGAAGUGAGGUAUGUCUGAAAAUGAGGUGGAGAGGAGCAUCAGAACAACAGUGAGUCAGCCAUGAAAUGGAUUUAUGAUUCAGUUUAAUCCUCCUUACCUUUGAAUAUUAUGAGCAAUAUAUGCCAUUAUGAUAGCUAUUUAGGGUGAAAUGAUUAAUUAAAACUAUCUGAUAAGACUAAGCAUACUGUCUAACCUGAUUUAAGGCAAAUUCAUCUACUUCAACUAAAAAUACUGAACAGGAAAAUUAAAAAGGUGAACAAGGAAAUAAAAACCCUUUAGGUCUUAUUUCCACUAUAUAUUUCCUAAGUGACCUAAGGAAAGUAUCAUUCAAACAGAGUCACAGUGUAUUUUAAAUUUUUAUUAGUAAGAGUUUGGAGUACAAAUAAAUUUAACUUGACAUUUAGAAAAAAAUGUAUCCAUUAAGGUUUGUUCAUAAAGAAAAACCUGUUCUGUACAUCUCCAAUUUUAAUGCUUAACUCCAUAAUGCUUCUAAGGCUAUAACUUAAUUUUAGAUUUAAUUUUAACAAUUCUGCCUUAUUACAUCUGGUUAAAAAGACUGGAAAACAUCAAGUAGAAAAAAAUGACCUGAAUUUAAAACUUUACUAAAGGACUUUUUAAAGAAAAAGCCUUUAAUAAAAACAGCCUAAAAAUUAGAAUACUUUGGCUUUAAAAUUAGCAGCUAUGAAAAAAUUAACAUUAGAUAAUAUCAAGGACUGCAUUACAAAAAUAUUGUGGUUUACAUAUAUUAGAAUGAUUUACAACAUAGUAAAUGCUUAUUUAUAUCAAUCCAAAAAUCUCUUUAUAAAAAAAUUUGAUAUAGUUUAGCACUUUUGAGAAAUUCAGUUCCUAGUAAGUAACAGGAACACAAGGCCACCUAGGGAGUGGACAAAGGGCAGGGUGGCCUUGCUCCAUGUCCACACCGAGGGUGGGGCAGGGUCUGACUCUUCCUG
ensembl:lncRNA